rnacentral:rRNA from 1 species
UACGUAGGUGACAAGCGUUAUCCGGAAUUAUUGGGCGUAAAGCGCCCGCAGGUGGCUGUUCAAGUCUGACGUGAAAUCGCUCGGCUUAACUGGGCGGGGUCGUUGGAAACUGAAUAGCUUGAGGCAAGGAGAGGGGCGUGGAAUUCCCGGUGUAGCGGUGAAAUGCGUAGAUAUCCGGGAGGAACACCGUGGCGGAGGAACGGCUGCCUGGACCGACACUG